rnacentral:rRNA from 1 species
GCAUCCUUCGGGGUGAGUGGCAGACGGGUGAGUAACGCGUGGGAACGUGCCCUUCAGUUCGGAAUAACCCAGGGAAACUUGGGCUAAUACCGGAUACGUGCGAGAGCAGAAAGAUUUAUCGCUGAAGGAUCGGCCCGCGUCUGAUUAGCUAGUUGGUGGGGUAAUGGCCUACCAAGGCGACGAUCAGUAGCUGGUCUGAGAGGAUGAUCAGCCACAUUGGGACUGAGACACGGCCCAAACUCCUACGGGAGGCAGCAGUGGGGAAUAUUGGACAAUGGGCGCAAGCCUGAUCCAGCCAUGCCGCGUGAGUGAUGAAGGCCUUAGGGUUGUAAAGCUCUUUCGUCCGGGACGAUAAUGACGGUACCGGAAGAAGAAGCCCCGGCUAACUUCGUGCCAGCAGCCGCGGUAAUACGAAGGGGGCUAGCGUUGUUCGGAAUCACUGGGCGUAAAGGGCGCGUAGGCGGCUUUGUAAGUCGGGGGUGAAAGCCUGUGGCUCAACCACAGAAUUGCCUUCGAUACUGCAUGGCUUGAGACCGGAAGAGGUUAGUGGAACUGCGAGUGUAGAGGUGAAAUUCGUAGAUAUUCGCAAGAACACCAGUGGCGAAGGCGGCUGACUGGUCCGGUUCUGACGCUGAGGCGCGAAAGCGUGGGGAGCAAACAGGAUUAGAUACCCUGGUAGUCCACGCCGUAAACG